rnacentral:rRNA from 1 species
AAACAUGAGAGUUUGAUUCUGGCUCAGGAUGAACGCUGGCGGCGUGCUUAACACAUGCAAGUCGAACGGAAUACAAGGGUUUACUUUUGUAUUCAGUGGCGGACGGGUGAGUAACGCGUGAGCAACCUGCCGUACUCCGGGGAAUAACACUUAGAAAUAGGUGCUAAUACCGCAUAAGACCACGCUCCCGCAUGGGAGAGGGGUAAAAGAUUUAUCGGGGUACGAUGGGCUCGCGUCCCAUUAGCUAGUUGGUGAGGUAACGGCCCACCAAGGCGACGAUGGGUAGCCGACCUGAGAGGGUAAUCGGCCACAUUGGAACUGAGAAACGGUCCAAACUCCUACGGGAGGCAGCAGUGGGGAAUAUUGGGCAAUGGAGGGAACUCUGACCCAGCAACGCCGCGUGAAGGAAGAAGGUUUUCGGAUUGUAAACUUCUGUCGCAGGGGAAGAAGAAUGACGGUACCCUGUAAGAAAGCCCCGGCUAACUACGUGCCAGCAGCCGCGGUAAUACGUAGGGGGCAAGCGUUAUCCGGAAUUACUGGGCGUAAAGGGAGUGUAGGCGGCGCUUUAAGUUAUGUGUGAAAGCCCACGGCUCAACCGUGGAACCGCACAUAAAACUGGAGUGCUUGAGUGUGGGAGAGGCAAGUGGAAUUCCUAGUGUAGCGGUGGAAUGCGUAGAUAUUAGGAGGAACACCGGAGGCGAAGGCGGCUUGCUGGACCAUAACUGACGCUGAGGCUCGAAAGCAUGGGUAGCAAACAGGAUUAGAUACCCUGGUAGUCCAUGCCCUAAACGAUGGAUACUAAACGAAGGGGGUAUUAACUCCCCCUGUGUUGAAGCUAACGCGAUAAGUAUCCCGCCUGGGUAGUACGGCCGCAAGGUUGAAACCUAAAGAAAUUGACGGGGACCCGCACAAGCAGCGGAGCAUGUGGUUUAAUUCGAAGCAACGCGAAGAACCUUACCAAGACUUGACAUCGAGUGCAAUUUGUGGAAACACAAACCUCCUUCGGGACACGAAGACAGGUGGUGCAUGGUUGUCGUCAGCUCGUGUCGUGAGAUGUUCGGUUAAGUCCGGCAACGAGCGCAACCCUUAUGAUAUGUUGCCAAUAUUAAGUUAGGAACUCAUAUCAGACUGCCGCGGAUAACGCGGAGGAAGGCGGGGAUGACGUCAAAUCAUCAUGCCCCUUACGUCUUGGGCCACACACGUGCUACAAUGGGCGCUACAAAGAGAUGCGAGCCGGUAACGGUAAGCGAAUCUCAUAAAGGCGUUCUCAGUUCGGAUUGAGGGCUGAAACCCGCCCUCAUGAAGUCGGAGUUGCUAGUAAUCCCGAAUCAGAAUGUCGGGGUGAAUGCGUUCCCGGGUCUUGUACACACCGCCCGUCACGCCAUGGGAGUCGGGGGUACCCGAAGUCAGUGAGCUAACCGCAAGGAGGCAGCUGCCUAAGGUAAAACCGAUGACUGGGGUGAAGUCGUAACAAGGUAGCCGUAUCGGAAGGUGCGGCUGGAUCACCUCCUUU